AAGCGGUGGAGGAUGUGGCUUAAUUCGAGGCUACGCGAAGAACCUUAUCCUAGUCUUGACAUGCACGGAUUAACCCCUGGAAACAGGGGCCACGCCUUCGGGUGGAACGUGCACAGGUGCUGCAUGGCUGUCGUCAGCUCGUGUCGUGAGAUGUCGGGUUAAGUCCCUUAACGAGCGAAACCCUUGUCACUAGUUACCAGCGCGUCAUGGCGGGGACUCUAGUGAGACUGCCGGUGUUAAACCGGAGGAAGGUGGGGAUG
rnacentral:rRNA from 1 species